rfam:Hordeum vulgare subsp. vulgare, WGS project CAJW01000000 data, contig: morex_contig_40304
AUUGUACUCCCUCCGUCCGGAAUUACUCGUCACCAAGAUGGAAAGAAAUGAAUGUAUCUAGAAUUAAAAUAUGUCUAGGUGCAUCCAUUUUUAUGCCAAGUAAUUCCGGAUGGAGGGAGUAUAUG